rnacentral:lncRNA from 1 species
GGUUUCGUUUUCGUCUUUCACUUUUGCUGUGAACAGUUUCGUUUUCUCUCCAACAGGUCCCUUCGUCUUUCGUUUGCCACCAUCUCCAUUGUUGCGUUACUUUGGUUUUAUCUCAAGCAGGGGAAGGCGAUCAUUGAGAAGGUAAGCUCGUAGUGUGGGUAUGUCGUUUUUGGUUUGGUUGGGCUUCGUCUUUGUUUGGUCAUUUGCUGGCAUUCUCGCGUUUUGGUGUUUUGGGUUUUUGUGUAUCAUUUCGCUUCUCAUUAUAAUGUUGUUGUUUAGGGGUUAAUUUUAUUUUUGUAAACCCUAAGGGGUUUUUGUUUAGGGGUUUUUGUUUAGGGGUUUUUGUGUAUCAUCUCGCUUCUCAUUUCGCUUCUCACUAUUGAUAUUUGGCCUCUUUGGUGUUUUGAUUUUGUGUUCAGUUGGAAUGGCUUCCGAAAUCCCAAAGGUAAGAUAAAGUUUCUUACUUUUAUUUAGUUGGAUAAUUUGUUGUUAAUAUUAACAAUGUUUUCUUUAAGUCUUGUAGUGGAGGGUUCGUACUUCUUUGGAUUCAUCUUAUAUUAUUGGAAUGAAUCGUUUGUUGAGAAAAGAUCAUGUUCAACGAAUUGCUAUGACACCUUUUAGGUGGUGUGUGUACCUACUUGAGGAUGUGGACAUAA